rnacentral:rRNA from 1 species
AUUGAACGCUGGCGGCAUGCUUUACACAUGCAAGUCGAACGGCAGCACAGGGAGCUUGCUCCCGGGUGGCGAGUGGCGCACGGGUGAGUAAUACAUCGGAACGUGUCCUGUUGUGGGGGAUAACUGCUCGAAAGGGUGGCUAAUACCGCAUGAGACCUGAGGGUGAAAGCGGGGGAUCGCAAGACCUCGCGCAAUUGGAGCGGCCGAUGCCCGAUUAGCUAGUUGGUGAGGUAAAGGCUCACCAAGGCGACGAUCGGUAGCUGGUCUGAGAGGACGACCAGCCACACUGGGACUGAGACACGGCCCAGACUCCUACGGGAGGCAGCAGUGGGGAAUUUUGGACAAUGGGGGCAACCCUGAUCCAGCCAUGCCGCGUGCAGGAUGAAGGCCUUCGGGUUGUAAACUGCUUUUGUCAGGGACGAAAAGGACUGUGUUAAUACCAUGGUCUGCUGACGGUACCUGAAGAAUAAGCACCGGCUAACUACGUGCCAGCAGCCGCGGUAAUACGUAGGGUGCAAGCGUUAAUCGGAAUUACUGGGCGUAAAGCGUGCGCAGGCGGUUCUGUAAGACAGAUGUGAAAUCCCCGGGCUUAACCUGGGAAUUGCAUUUGUGACUGCAGGACUAGAGUUCAUCAGAGGGGGGUGGAAUUCCAAGUGUAGCAGUGAAAUGCGUAGAUAUUUGGAAGAACACCAAUGGCGAAGGCAGCCCCCUGGGAUGCGACUGACGCUCAUGCACGAAAGCGUGGGGAGCAAACAGG